rnacentral:lncRNA from 1 species
AGAAUGACCACCUCUGCCCCGCGGCUCUCCCGAGGAGUUGGGAUGCUGGCCCUGCCCCCUCAACUGGAUACUGGAUAGGCGGGGCUUUCACGUAGCGAGAUCUUGGGGCUUUGCAACAACUUCUCAUAUGUGGUGAUGCUGAGCGCUGCCCAUGACAUCCUUAAGCAGGAGCAGGCAUCUGGAAACCAGAGCCAUGUGGAACCAGGCCCAACACCCAUGCCCCAUAACAGCUCAUCUCGAUUUGAUUGCAAUUCAAUCUCCACAGCUGCGGUGCUCCUAGCAGACAUCCUUCCCACCCUUGUCAUCAAACUCCUGGCUCCUCUUGGCCUUCAUUUGCUGCCUUACAGCCCCCGGGUGCUUGUCAGUGGAGUCUGUUCUGCUGGAAGCUUUGUUCUGGUUGCCUUUUCUCAAUCAGUGGGGUUAAGCCUGUGUGGAGUGGUUUUGGCCAGCAUCUCAUCAGGUCUAGGGGAGGUCACCUUCCUUUCACUGACUGCCUUCUACCCCAGUGCUGUGAUCUCAUGGUGGUCUUCAGGAACUGGGGGUGCAGGGCUUCUUGGAUCGCUGUCAUACCUGGGGCUCACCCAGGCUGGCCUCUCCCCGCAGCACACCCUACUUUCUAUGCUGGGGAUCCCUGUUCUGAUGCUAGCCAGCUAUUUCUUGCUGCUCACAUCUCCUGAACCCCUGGACCCUGGAGGGCAAGACGAGGCAGAGACUGCUGCCCGGCAGCCUC